UUACAACAUCGUCGUGACAAAAAGAAAGCUCAACUGGAAGACCCACGGAGUACCACGGAGUGCACGUAACCUGCUUUUGAGUUGGACUGUGAGUAUGGUGUAGGGCCUCGGGUUUCCACACCAGACCCUGCUUGAGCCACGCCAGACGUCGGUGGAGUUUCCCUCCCGACUCCAGUUGAGCCAGAGGAGCGCUUUCUGUUUCCCGUAUUCCCCUUGUUUGUUUUUUGUGAAAAAUAAAGUCAUUUUGGCUGAAAAUCCAAGGCUGCUGUGCGUGUGCUUUUGGGUCCACCAAAUACACCCCACCCCCUAACAAUUGUGUUCCCAUCCUUGUGUUUUAAUUGUCUGUGGGUUUUUUUGUAUCUGCCUGUUGGGUAUAUUUAAAUACCAAAUCCUGUGUUUUUAGAUUUUAGGAUACUCUUGUGUCUGAUUACUUAAAUAUCUUUUCAGAUGUUAUACACAAUAUACAGCUUUUGGAUAAUUGUUGAAAAAACGUGUCCUUGACUAUUCUUCUCUCCGUAAAUAAUUGGCACUUGCCUGCUGACUGACAAUCUAUUUUUUAACAAAAGCAAAAUAGGAAAAUAUCUUCCAAAACACUAGUGAAGUGACAUUGCUGAAUUCCUUUCUUUGUUAAUACAUAGUUAUACAAGCUUUGAUAUUAAAAUUUAAUACACCAAUGUUCGGUCAAACGAGACUCCGCUAUAGAUGUCUUUUGCCCAGUGAAUACAACACUCAAGCUGGGAAAAAAAUCAUGUGCUAGAAGUAUAAAAGUUGAGUGGAGAUUUUGUUAUUCAUCAUUAUUUUGCAUAGAAUAUUAGAAAUCACCACCUCCAUUCAGAUUCAGUGGUCUCUGUGGAGACAGAUAAAUGAUAUAUUACACCAAGAGGAAGCCAUUAACUGUAACAGUUUAGGUUUCAUUAUAAAGUAAAACAAUGUGCAGAUCACACCUUUUUUUGUUCCGACACAAUCACUCUCAAUGAAGGGCCUGACAAUCCCACCCUCAUCUAAAGGGCGAUCAAAGCUUCGCUCUGAGUGAGCUGCAUAUUGGUUCCUCAAUGUUGUUUUCAAUUUCGCCAGUAUGCAAAUUCCCCUCCACAUUUCCUUUGGAAAUAAUGAGGAAAAUAAGAACGCUCUAACCCCAGAUGAAAAGGAAAUGGCUUUUGAAAUGGCCGGCACUAUAUUAUGGUACCGCACUCCAAAUCAACCAGAAGACAAACCCUGUUGCAAAAUAUUGUCUAUAAACAUGAAAAAUAUACAGGAACAUACCUUUUACCUUCCACACAUUAUAAAUGUAUAAACAGCUUUAUCUCAGCUCAACAUCGAAUUAGGAUUUAACACGUGCAAACUGUUCAUUAUCCAAAAUGAAAUCUACUUGUUUGUAGUUGUGAACAAACUUGGGUAAUAAUUUUGAAAAAAGAAUUUAAGAAUAUUCAUGUUCAGAUGUACAAAUGAUUUAACUGAAAAUGUUUUAUGAAUACAGACAGCCGGAGAGUGAGCGUCACUCUCUCAUCUGCUGAAUGAAAAUAGGUCACCAGACAUUUAUUUGCUGUAUUGAAUCAGGCAAGACUGUAUUAAUUUAUCACCUCUUAAGUGGCAAAGCGUCUGUGGCAAAACAUCUGUUCAAGGAUAGCAUACCGAGCAUAUUGCAGCAGAUAAUGUCAGAAAGAAAAAAAAUCGGAUUCUGUCUAUUAAAACAGUUCACGUGACUGUAAAGAAAUACACACUGUUGCGUAUUAGACUUCCUUGUAAAAAAUAUAAAGUCUGUGCAUAUAAGUUAAUAAAUGUGUUUGCCGACAUUUAUUUUGCGACUGUUGAUUGCAAUACCACGUUUAGCUAAAAGUACCCUGGCUGAGUUUUAAAUGAUCAGAAAAUGUGUCUCUCCGUUUCUUCAUAAUAUGCUGUUUCUAAAGUUUGACAUCUAAACAAAUUCUCGUAAUGAAUCACUCAAAAUAUUCUCUAGUUUUCUAAAGAAUAAGGAUCACAGUGGCCGCAGAUGUUAUAAUUCUUCACUUGAGUGUCCAAAAAUAUAGAUUUGUAUUGCGAACCUGGAAGAGAGUAAAAACCUCAGGACAUGAGCUUCUGGAUUUAUUUGUAUUCCAUAAGAAUCUAUGAAGAUGCCCACUUAUUAACCUUCAGCAAACACUGAUGCUGAAAUAUACAACGCUCUAUGUGACCUUCAGACUACCAUAUGAUUGUAUCUGUGAACGUGCAUACAUAUACUUCUUUAUAUGUAUGCGCAUAUAUCCAUUACGUUUAGUUAACUUGGCAUGAGCCCAUUCACAGUGAGCCAAAAAUACUGGGAAAGUGUUUUCUGGUUCAUUUUAGAGCUUGACAGCUGUGUUUUAUGUUUAGGGUCAUUAGUAAGUGUGCAGCCAGAAGACUGCAUAUCUACAGUAAUCAAUUAUAGCAAUGCACAAAUACAUUUGAAAGGUUAUUGAAAGUGAAUACUAACUUCUAAGAGGGAAAAAACUAUGAUUGUAGUUUAAUUUGCCUGGAUGGGAUUGGCAGUAAAAAGCAUUAGAUCUGUAACAAUACGAAGUAUUGGCAUAUUCCAUUGAGCAAAAUGUAUAAAGAAGGGAAAGGUAAACAUUUUUAUGGGGGAGAAAAUUAAUAUUUUAUUGUAUGUGGCUCUUUUGCUUCGCCUGACACCGCUUCUGUUGAGUGAGAGCUUAGUUUAAAACCAUCUAAUACAAAUUAAUUUCAUUCUCUCGUAGUCACACCUGUCUUGCAAAGGCCCAUCUGCUGUCUUGAGAGACCUGUUUAAUUGUUUUGCUGAGCCUCUCCACAAAUACAAUGUGCUGGUUGAGGUGCCAAAAAGAAAAUCUGUGAUCACUUUAUUCAACCUUUCAACAAAACCCUGACAAGUUACUAGUAUAUUAGAUCAUACAGAGGAACUCAUGGACGCACAUUUGGAACUGUAGCGUUAACGCAGAUGGCGCUCGCUGUGAUACUGCAGUUCACGUCGUUAUCACGAAACAUGCAGCUCAUCAGGUAAUCUGCGCUUUUCUCCGCCCACAAUACCUCACGUUACACAGAGCACGUUGCGAGCAUUUAAAUGCGCAUUUGAAUGGACCCCCUUCUCUCUUUCUAUCAUGGAUCAGCCAAAGUGAAAAAAGCAAAAAACAAAAUUCAGGGUUUUUUGUUGGCAUCAGCGGUGGAAAAUAUAUGUAUUGACCAGCGCGCUGCAGCAAAGCGCGAAGUACUUGUAGCUGUGAUACGGCUGAGUGCAGACUGCGAUGUUCCCACUGUGACUGUUUGAAAUGAAUGACCUGAUGCCGAUAAUUGUAAUUGUAAGCGAGGAGUUUAACAACUGCCGAGUGGGAAUGAUGUCACAUUUCUUCCAGUAACAGUAAUACUGUGUGGCUGCUUAAUCUGUAACACGAAGUGAACUUGUGUUCACUCAACUGAAAACGUGUGAUCCUUGUGGCAAGUAUGUAUGUAUGUAUAUAUAUAUUAAAAAAAAGUAGAGGAGGGGGAAUCAAUACAUGCAAUAAUGUUUUUACAUUUAACACAAUGAGAUCACUUCACAGAUGUGAUUGUGGACUCAUAUCAAAUUUAAUUCUAAAGAAACGAGGGGGUCGAAUGUCAUUCUGUUCAUAUCGUAUGUAUGGAUACUCUUUGACGUCAUUUGAAGUUCCCCAAAUCAGACAAAAAAGUGAUCUUUGCAUGCUAGCACAUUUUGAAUGGGCACCUUUAAAGUGCCAAGUCUUCACGUGAAAUGUGUCAUGGAUUAAGUUCUUCCUCCAAACCCAGUUAGCAGCAUGUUUCCUCAGGUGCCCAAAGCUGUGAAGUUGUCCACAGAAGAGGUGAUAAGCAGUAUCUGUGCUGCAGCCAAACCAGCCUAAGCCUCACUGGAGCUGAAACUGAAAUGUGUACACCUUUCUCUACCUUCCAUCCCAC
ensembl:lncRNA